AGAGUUUGAUCCUGGCUCAGGAUGAACGCUGGCGGCGUGCUUAACACAUGCAAGUCGAACGAAGCACUCUAUUUGAUUUUCUUCGGAAAUGAAGAUUUUGUGACUGAGUGGCGGACGGGUGAGUAACGCGUGGGUAACCUGCCUCAUACAGGGGGAUAACAGUUGGAAACGACUGCUAAUACCGCAUAAGCGCACGGUAUCGCAUGGUACAGUGUGAAAAACUCCGGUGGUAUGAGAUGGACCCGCGUCUGAUUAGCCAGUUGGUGGGGUAACGGCCUACCAAAGCGACGAUCAGUAGCCGACCUGAGAGGGUGACCGGCCACAUUGGGACUGAGACACGGCCCAAACUCCUACGGGAGGCAGCAGUGGGGAAUAUUGCACAAUGGGGGAAACCCUGAUGCAGCGACGCCGCGUGAACGAAGAAGUAUUUCGGUAUGUAAAGUUCUAUCAGCAGGGAAGAUAAUGACGGUACCUGACUAAGAAGCACCGGCUAAAUACGUGCCAGCAGCCGCGGUAAUACGUAUGGUGCAAGCGUUAUCCGGAUUUACUGGGUGUAAAGGGAGCGCAGGCGGUGCGGCAAGUCUGAUGUGAAAGCCCGGGGCUCAACCCCGGUACUGCAUUGGAAACUGUCGUACUAGAGUGUC
rnacentral:rRNA from 1 species